rnacentral:sRNA from 2 species
GCUUCAUUGAUAUUGACGGUGCUACAGUCGUUAGCGAUCCGUUAUCCUCGCAAGAAUUUGCCCGGUAGCGUAUAAGCAAAACACAAAUCUAUCCAUGCAAGCAUUUACCGCUGGUGAACCGGCGGUUUUUUUUUUGCCUGCCAUCCAGACAAAAGCGGCCCCUUGCGCAACGAUGCAGCAAGGGGCCGGCUCUGCGAGGGAUUAUCUCCGUUCAUUAAUCA